CUCCUUGUGAUGUCACCCAGCUCCAACGCCCCCGGGGCUCUCACCAGAGUCGGGAACAGUUGACGUGUGCGGGAAUUCUCCUUUUAGCAGACACAGAGAUGAUUUAUAAGAAAUCCCUGCCUGCACUUCCUCCAGCUGCUUCAGUAUCUUUCCCUGGGUGUUUUUACAGUAAAAACAGUCCUCCUGCAGACAGCAGCUAAAACCACUGAGAGAGACAAAUACAGCUGGAAUCACAGAAACAUAAGGGAACAAGUCCAGGGAUCAGAUACAGGUCCCCUCCAGCCCUCUCCACUGUGUCAAGCUGAAUCUGCCUCGUCUGCUGCUUCAGACCCUGAACUCCUGAAAACUGCUGUGACUUCCUUGGAAAUACGUCAGUGCUGCCCUAGAUACCGAGGCUGCUCCACCAAACAGUCCUUUCCACACUGCACAGUGACUACCAGACUAUUUCUCCUGUUAUUCUCAGCAUCUCUGGGUUCAUCCUCAUUCCCCCUUUCCUGCCAGCCCACCCAGAGCACCUCCAUACUCUGUCUGCCCUUCCCAGCUCCCUCUCCUUCUCUGAGAAUAACAUGCAGGAAACCAAGGAUUUAUUUGUCAUUUUUCCAGCCUUUAGACAUCAAGAGUUGUGCUCAUCUCUCUGCAGAUAUUAAUUCCUCCAGGCUAAGUAAUAAUAGGCUCCCUGGAGCAGCCUGUCCUUGUCGGAUUCUAUGGAUGCUUCUGGACCGCCCACUCUCCUCCUCAGCUCCCAGCCAGUUUGUGGCCAGAUUAGAGUUCCCCCAUCAUGAGAGUCAACUGGAAUACUCCAAGUUGUAUUUCAUGCUCUCCUAAAAGCCAAAUAUAUACUGUC